GAUGAACGCUGGCGGCGUGCUUAACACAUGCAAGUCGAACGAUGAAGCCCAGCUUGCUGGGUGGAUUAGUGGCGAACGGGUGAGUAACACGUGAGUAACCUGCCCUUGACUCUGGGAUAAGCGCUGGAAACGGCGUCUAAUACCGGAUACGAGCUUCCACCGCCUGGUGAGUUGCUGGAAAGAAUUUCGGUCAAGGAUGGACUCGCGGCCUAUCAGGUAGUUGGUGAGGUAACGGCUCACCAAGCCGACGACGGGUAGCCGGCCUGAGAGGGUGACCGGCCACACUGGGACUGAGACACGGCCCAGACUCCUACGGGAGGCAGCAGUGGGGAAUAUUGCACAAUGGGCGCAAGCCUGAUGCAGCAACGCCGCGUGAGGGACGAAGGCCUUCGGGUCGUAAACCUCUUUUAGCAGGGAAGAAGCGAAAGUGACGGUACCUGCAGAAAAAGCACCGGCUAACUACGUG
rnacentral:rRNA from 1 species